rnacentral:rRNA from 1 species
AUUGAACGCUGGCGGCAUGCCUUACACAUGCAAGUCGAACGGCAGCGGGGGAGAAGCUUGCUUUUCCUGCCGGCGAGUGGCGAACGGGUGAGUAAUACAUCGGAACGUGCCCUGUAGUGGGGGAUAACUAGUCGAAAGAUUAGCUAAUACCGCAUACGACCUGAGGGUGAAAGUGGGGGACCGCAAGGCCUCAUGCUAUAGGAGCGGCCGAUGUCUGAUUAGCUAGUUGGUGGGGUAAAGGCCUACCAAGGCGACGAUCAGUAGCUGGUCUGAGAGGACGAUCAGCCACACUGGGACUGAGACACGGCCCAGACUCCUACGGGAGGCAGCAGUGGGGAAUUUUGGACAAUGGGCGAAAGCCUGAUCCAGCAAUGCCGCGUGUGUGAAGAAGGCCUUCGGGUUGUAAAGCACUUUUGUCCGGAAAGAAAUGGCUCUGGUUAAUACCUGGGGUCGAUGACGGUACCGGAAGAAUAAGGACCGGCUAACUACGUGCCAGCAGCCGCCGUAACAC